GAUGAACGCUGACAGAAUGCUUAACACAUGCAAGUCAACUUGAACUUCGGUUUGGGUGGCGGACGGGUGAGUAACGCGUAAAGAACUUGCCUCACAGAUAGGGACAACAUUUGGAAACGAAUGCUAAUACCUGAUAUUAUGAUUUUAGGGCAUCCUAGAAUUAUGAAAGCUAUAUGCGCUGUGAGAGAGCUUUGCGUCCCAUUAGCUAGUUGGAGAGGUAACGGCUCACCAAGGCGAUGAUGGGUAGCCGGCCUGAGAGGGUGAUCGGCCACAAGGGGACUGAGACACGGCCCUUACUCCUACGGGAGGCAGCAGUGGGGAAUAUUGGACAAUGGACCAAGAGUCUGAUCCAGCAAUUCUGUGUGCACGAUGAAGUUUUUCGGAAUGUAAAGUGCUUUCAGUUGGGAAGAAAAAAAUGACGGUACCAACAGAAGAAGUGACGGCUAAAUACGUGCCAGCAGCCGCGGUAAUACGUAUGUCACAAGCGUUAUCCGGAUUUAUUGGGCGUAAAGCGCGUCUAGGUGGUUAUGUAAGUCUGAUGUGAAAAUGCAGGGCUCAACUCUGUAUUGCGUUGGAAACUGUGUAACUAGAGUACUGGAGAGGUAAGCGGAACUACAAGUGUAGAGGUGAAAUUCGUAGAUAUUUGUAGGAAUGCCGAUGGGGAAGCCAGCUUACUGGACAGAUACUGACGCUGAAGCGCGAAAGCGUGGGUAGCAAACAGG
rnacentral:rRNA from 1 species